GCGGCCGCCCUCAGCCUCAGUCUCCAAAUCCGAGAAAGGACCGCAGUGACAUGCAGACUAAACGUGAAUGAUGUAACUUCCCAGGAUUGCCAAGGUGGGAUCCUCCUUGUACCAGCCGGCCUUGAAGACAAUUAACCAGCACCUUUCCUUCUUGCCCUCCCAUCCGCCCCUAGAGCCGCCCAUCCAAGCAGGGGUGGCGGCUGCCUGUAGUCUUAGCAGCUGUUUCUCAGUUUCUUCAGCCAGGAUUGAGCAGACCCGGCGACACCAGGCUCUCCACAGAGUCCUUCAGGCCAGAUGCCUUGCUUUUCCUUCCCAAGAGGCCUGAUGUCAUCUUGGGAACAGCCAGAAAGGGGCAGGAGUCAGGGAGGAGUUAUUUCCACUGCUGCCCCUCCCUCACCCGCUUCCCCCCCUCCCCAGCCCUGCCCCUGACAUGGCCCUGGAACCUCCCACAGCCUCUCCUCCCACUUGCUCCCCCCACCCCCGCCCCCACCCCCAGGCCCUGCCCUGGGCCAGCACAGUCUGUGUGAAUGUCUAAUCUCCAAUUUUAUUCUGCUGGGCUACAGCCCAUUUGCAUAAUCCACACAGGCACCCUGGUUUUAAUUGCCCACAACUCUGCAGAAAGAUCAUGUGGUUAAGUGGUAAAUCAUAAUUAGAUAAAUAAUUGGUUUGGCCACAGCAAGCUGCUUCUGUUUCACCUGCCAUCUGCCGGACCCGGUUUCUCUUCUGGCCGGAACAAUGCGCUUCUGAUGACAGAGCACACUGCUGCUCCCUUGUGGGGGCGGAGGGGGCUGAGCGGAGGGGCUUGGAAACCGAGCCUGGAAAAGUGCCCGAUUGCUGGGGUCUCUUUCCCCAAGCCAGGCAAGCCCCACACUUGCCAUUCGCCCUGUGUGGGUAGGGGCGGGGGAGAGUUCUGGAUCUGCUGUAGAAAGGGAGGCUUGGGUCUGAGCAGAGCGGGGCCGGGACUGGCUUGCUUGGACCUGGGAUCACCUGUGUAGGGCCGACCUGGGGGCCUCAUUCCUUGGGGCUCUGAGGGAGUUGGUGGGCAGAGCUGGAGCAGGCAGGCCUCCCUGCC
ensembl:sense_intronic Gm26971 predicted gene, 26971